GAUCAUGGCUCAGGAUGAACGCUGGCGGCGUGCUUAACACAUGCAAGUCGAGCGAAGCACUUAGGAAAGAUUCUUCGGAUGAUUUCCUAUUUGACUGAGCGGCGGACGGGUUAGUAACGCGUGGGUAACCUGUCUCAUACAGGGGGAUAACAGUUAGAAAUGACUGCUAAUACCGCAUAAGACCACAGCACCGCAUGGUGCAGGGGUAAAAACUCCGGUGGUAUGAGAUGGACCCGCGU
rnacentral:rRNA from 1 species